rnacentral:lncRNA from 10 species
UGGGAGGCUGGAGAAGAAGGAUUGCUUGACCCGAGGAGUUUGAGGCCGUAACGAGCUAUGAUGCUGUCACUGCACUCCAGCCUAGGUGACAGAGUGAGACCCUGACUCAAAAAAAACUAAAAAUAAAAAAAUAAAAAUAAAAAGGAGCUUGCUGGUAAUGGGGAGAGUUUUGACGGUAUAAAAGAUGCUUAUAAAAGUUUGGUUUGGGGUGGAACCUCUACUUUAGAGGGGCACCCAGGAAACUUAAAUUUAUAUUCUUUGGCCUGAAUAAGUAUUUCAAAAUUUGCCUUUUUUUUUUUUUUUUUUUUUUUUUUUGAGACAGAGUCUCGCUCUGUCGCCCAGGCUGGAGUGCAGUGGCAUGAUCUCAGCUCACUGCAAGCUCUGCCUCCCAGGUUCACGCCAUUCUCCUGCCUCAGCCUCUUGAGUAGCUGGGACUGCAGGUGCCCACCACCAUGCCUGGUUAAUUUUUUGUAUUUUUAAUAGAGACGGGGUUUCACCGUGUUAGCCAGGAUGGUCUCCAUCUCCUGACGUUGUGAUCUGCCCGCCUCAGCCUCCCAAAGUGCUGGGAUUACAGGCAUGAGCCACCAUGCCCAGCAAAAUUUGCCAAUUUUUGCAUAUUCUCUGAGCAUGUUAAAAGUCUCAGGUGGGGUGUAAACAUUUUAAGAAGACAGUAAUCCUUCCAAAACAUCACAGAAAACGGACUAAUUCAAGGGUAAAACAGAAAUUGUCAGAAAAGUGUGUCAUUUAAAAAUGCUUUUAAAUAUAGAAAAAAAGAAUAUUUUAAAAGAAUAACUUUUGUGUCAGGAGGUGAUUGCGAAGGAUUUGCCUCAUAUCCAAGAACUGAAAGUCAUUUUGUUGACAGACAAAAAGGGAUUGAGGCCACAGAAAGCUAAAUGCCUUGCUCAGAGCAUAGCCAAGAAAGGGGUGGGGGCAGCUGGGAUUCUGGGCUCCUUUCCGUUCAGUUGCAGAGUUCCUUCCUCAGACUCAUGUAGUUCACAGCAAGUUAAAACCCAGGGUCCUCAACUGCAGCCUGAUAUGGUGGAAAAGAGCCCCCACUUAGAAGUCAGAAAGACAAGUGUUCGAAUUUAGGCAAAUUUAGGCAAAUUAUUCAACUUCUUUGACCCUUAAUUUUAUCAUCUGAGAAGUGAGGUUAAAAAUGCACCUCCUUUGUUGAGUUGCUGUGAGGAUUAGAGAUACUGUAGGUGUAUUUGUGGUAGGUAGAGCACUUGCCCCAUAGCAGUUGCUCAAUAAAUGGUAGCUAAGAAUUGAAUUGAAAAUAGCUGCACGUGAAGGUAACUGCAAUCCAAGAAUAUUCUGCGUAAAUUGUGAAGAAAAAGCACUGUGGUAUACCCAAUGUUUGGUCAAUUGCAUACCUAAAACAAAAACAUCCCUGACAUUUGAAUAGCACCUUAGGGAUUUAUAAAGCAUUUUCUAUGUACAGAACAUCCACCUUACAGAUUAGGAGACUGAGCUCUGAAAAACUAACAUCCCUGUGGUCUGUGAGCUAUUAAGUAGCAGGCAAGGCAGCAGACAACAGCUCCCCCAACCCUUUUGUCUCAAUUCAGGUCCUCUCUCUGUACCCUAAAGCCUCUUGGCUGAAGGACAAUGGGAUUUGUAUACACAGAUCAUCCACAUCACAUAGAGAAGCAGCACAGCCCCCAGAAGCUGCAAGCAGGAGCUUUCUAAUGAGGCUGAUAUGGGCUUUGGUCGCUACUCCCAACACUUGGUAGCUGUGUGAUCUUGGGAAGGUACCUCUUUGUGUCUCCGUUUCCUUAUCUGUAAAAUGAGGAUGAUUCUACUAGUCUCCACUUCCUAGUAUUGUGGCCAUAGUUAAAUGAGAUGGUACAUGUGAAACGUAUGCAGGAAGCACUUUAUAACAGCUUAUCAUUAUUACUAUGCAUUAAAUGUGAAUCAUACCCACCUAGUGUGAAGGGUUCUCUAUCAAACGGAGCUAAUGAACGAUCUAGGGGAGGUUUCGUGCUUCUGUCUAUUGAAGGAGCAGGGACUGGAAGGGGAAAAGGCUGACAUCAAUUAAAAGAAGAAAGCAGUCGGCUGGGGGUUGGGCGGGGCUAGGGGAGUGCCUGGUGGGAACAGGGCAAGAGAGAGCAGCCCUUGUACUCACGCUUUGCCGUUUUGUGGUUUCUGCUUCUGCUGGGUUCUUCGUGGUUGGUCUGGGGUGGGGGCAGUGGCUGCAUAAAGAUCCAAACGUUAGGAAGCACUUCCAAUACAUCAGCAAGAGCCGGCACUCCCAAAACCUGUCUGGAUCUGCUCACUUUUCCUCAUCUUCAUGUUCUGCCUACAAACAUCCAUGUCCAUUUCUUCACUGAACUACCGCAGUAGCCUCCUAUCUGAGCUCCCUGUUCUAGACUCUGCCACGCAAGCUCUUUUCUGCAGGCAGCAGAGUGAGCAUGUCACUUUCCUGCUAAGCCUCCUAUCACAUUAGAAACAAAAUUGAAACUCGUUAAUGUCCUGCGAGGCCCUGCCUGAGCUGGCCCAUGUCUGCCCUCUCAACUCUUUCCUGUGAUCCCUUCUCAGUACUCAUGGGGUCCCUACCAUAGAAUCUUCUUGCAGUUCCUGGAAAAUCUCAAGGUUAUGCCCUCUUUGGCAUCCCUACACUUGUUUCCUUCUGCCUAGAACGUUCUUCUCCCGGCUCUUCCCACAACUGGCUCAUUCUGUCCCAGGUCCUUGUCACCUCCCCCCCCCAUACCGUCAUGUUACCUGGUCUUCCGUCCCCCGAACCACACAUAACUACUCAAAUGAUCUCUUUCAGACAUCUGUCUACCGUCUGAUAA